GUUUACACUAGGAAUGUAACCUUGGCUUAAUAUUUGAAAAAUUCAAACAAUGUAAAAUAAAAUAAGAAAUCAGAUCAUUUCAGUAGGUAAAAUUUCAACAUCAAAUCCUGACUUAAUUAAAAGCUCUCAGUAAACUAAGAAUAGGAAAGAGCUUCCUCAACCUUAUAAAAUAUAUCUAUGAAAAUACUACAGUCGACAUUCAUGAUAGUAAAAGACUGAAUAUUUUGCCACUAAUGUCAGGAACAAUGCAAGGCUGUCUGCCCUCAGCAUUGCCAUACAACCUUUUAUUGGAGGGUUUAUUUUCAUCAUAGCACAUAUCACAUCUGAUAUAUCUUGAUUUUCACAUUCGCUCAUUUUCGUCUCCUCUUGAUGGGCCAGGGACCUUGUCUGCCUUGGUCUCCCUGUAUCAUUAGCUCCUAGAAUAGCACUUGGCACAAGGUACAUGCUCCAUGAAUAGUUUUCAAAUGAAUGAACUUUUUAGUAGUAUUGUAUAUGAACAAGGUACACCUGUGGGGCAAAAACAUUUCUAUUCUAUGUAAUUUCAAUUACAGUAAGCAGUGUUUUCACUGAAAGUUUUCUUAUCAUAGUAAAAAAAAUUAGUCAUCCCCAAAAGAAAUUUUUGUAAAAAUUUUCAUUUCCUUAUAUGAACUCCUUCUCUAAGGAAAUGCUGUGGUAGCUUGACUUGGGUUCCUUGAUGUCUUCUACCAGGUAUGUCAAGAAUUUUUCUGGUGAAGUUGUUCUCUUCUGUAGAGGGUUGAAGUGUUCCACCCCAAACUCAUGUCCACCCAGCACCUCAGAUUAUAACCUUAUUUCAAAAAAGGAUUUCAAAAGAGGAUCUUUGGAGAUAUUAGUUAAGAUGAAGCUAUACUAAAUUAAGGGAGGCCCUAAAUCCAAUGGCUGGUGUCCUUAUAAGAAAAGAAAAGGACACAGAGACAGGAAAGAAGAUCAUGUGGUGAUGGAGGCAGAGAUCGGAAUAAUGAUGGUAGAAGCCAGGAGCAUCAAGGAUUGCUGGGAACUAGUGGAAGCUAGGAAGAGGCAAAGAAGGAUUCUUCCCUGAAGCCUUUGGGGGAAGCAUGGUCCUGCCAACAGCUUGUUUCUAGACUUUAGUCUCCAAAACCAUGAGAAAUUAAAUGUCUGUUAUUUUAGGUCACCGUGUUUGUAGUAAUUUGUUAUGGCUGCUCUAAGAAGUUUACCUACCUUGGCAUACCAAAUGAUGUUUUUAUUACUCUUAAAAUAUUACUCUAACACCAUGUUUGUUUACUUUUCUAGAUACUCUUCCACUGGAAAAUGCAUACAGAGUAAUUUCAGUUUACCAUUGCAUUAAUCGAUACUCAGAAUGGCACCAUAGUCAAAACUCAUUGCUCUGCUUCUUGGGUUCAUUGGAUUUGUUGGCCUUAUUUUUUUCAAAAGUAUAUUGCUGCCAUAUCUCGGAUUGCUAGAGAAAAUAUAAACAUUCAGAAAGUCAAUUAUCAAACUAGAAGAAGUUAUAUCUGCGUACCUCCGAUUCAAACUUCUCCUGAUUCACAAACUGAAACAGAUACUGUCACAAAGAAGGACCAAAAAAAGGAAUGGUGGAAGAGAAAGUCGGUUGAAGUUAGCAUAAAUGAGCCAUGGGAAAACGAAGUGGACGAUCUGGUUGCCUGGACCAACUCCCUUGAUACAGAUGCUUUGGAAGAUUAAGCUCCAGGACUUAAAAAAUGAACAGUCUCAACCAUAGCUCAGCUUCAUGGAGCAACUCUGGAAGACUCACAGCUUGGCUUCCUUUUUUUUUUUUCAAGUUUGUCUCAUCCUCUCACUGCAACAACAAAUUAGAAAUAUAAGUGUGAAUCAGUGAA